GCCAGGUGUGGUGGCACGCACCUGUAAUCUCAGCUACUUGGGAGGCUGAGGCAGGAGAAUCGCUUGAACCCAGGAGGCAGAGGUUGCAGUGAGCCGAGAUCGUGCCACUGCACUCCAGCCUGGGUGACACAGUGAGACUCUGUCUCAA
rfam:Gorilla gorilla gorilla genomic chromosome, chr14, whole genome shotgun sequence